GACGUAGGGGGCAAGCGUUAUCCGGAUUCACUGGGCGUAAAGGGCGCGUAGGCGGCUAUGUAAGUCCGGCGUGAAAUCUCAGGGCUCAACUCUGAAACUGCGUCGGAUACUGCAUUGGCUUGAGGAUGGUAGAGGCUCGUGGAACUAGCGGUGUAGCGGUGAAAUGCGCAGAUAUCGCUAGGAACGCCGGUGGCGAAGGCGACGGGCUGGGCCACUCCUGACGCUGAGGCGCGAAAGCCAGGGGAGCGAACCG
rnacentral:rRNA from 1 species